rnacentral:rRNA from 1 species
UACGGAGGGUGCAAACGUUGCUCGGAAUCAUUGGGCGUAAAGCGCACGUAGGCGGCCUGUUAAGUCGGGUGUGAAAUCCCUGGGCUCAACCCAGGAAGUGCACUCGAAACUGGCAGGCUUGAGUACUGAAGAGGGUCGCGGAAUUCCCCGGUGUAGAGGUGAAAUUCGUAGAUAUCGGGAGGAACACCAGUGGCGAAGGCGGCGACCUGGGCAGAUACUGACGCUGAGGUGCGAAAGCGUGGGGAGCAAACAGG